AGUGAACGCUGGCGGUAGGCCUAACACAUGCAAGUCGAACGGCAGCACAGUAAGAGCUUGCUCUUACGGGUGGCGAGUGGCGGACGGGUGAGGAAUACAUCCGAAUCUACUUUUUCGUGGGGGAUAACGUAGGGAAACUUACGCUAAUACCGCAUACGACCUACGGGUGAAAGCAGGGGAUCUUCGGACCUUGCGCGAUUGAAUGAGCCGAUGUCGGAUUAGCUGGUUGGCGGGGUAAAGGCCCACCAAGGCGACGAUCCGUAGCUGGUCUGAGAGGAUGAUCAGCCAAAACGGAACUGGAACACGGUCCCGAAUCCUAAGGGAGGCAGCAGUGGGGAAUAUUGGACAAUGGGCGGAAGCCUGAACCAGCCAUACCGCGUGGGUGAAGAAGGCCUUCGGGUUGUAAAGCCCUUUUGUUGGGAAAGAAAAGCAGCAGGUUAAUAACCCGCUGUUCUGAAGGUACCCAAAGAAUAAGCACCGGCUAGCUUCGUG
rnacentral:rRNA from 1 species